AUGAUGGCACAGCCCCAGCUCCUCAUGGUGUUGCUGCUCUGGGCAUCAGGUGCCUGUGGGGACAUCAUAAUGACCCAGUCUCCAGCUUCCCGGGCUGUGUCUCUGGGAGAAACAGUCACCAUCAACUGCAAGUCCAGCCAGAGUCUUACCAUUGGUAGCUAUCAGUUCUUAGCCUGGUAUCAGCAGAAAGCAGGACAAGCUCCGAAACUUCUCAUCUACCUGGGAUCCAACCGGGCAUCUGGGGUCCCUGACCGGUUCAGUGGCAGUGGGUCUGGGACAGACUUCACUCUCACUAUCAGCAGGGUCCAGGCUGAAGAUGUGGCCAAUUAUUACUGUCAGCAAUAUCAUAGCUAUCCACCACUGUCUUAUGGUUCUGGAAGUCAGAAGCUGUCUAUCAAUAUAUGCAAUAGCUGUUGA